rnacentral:rRNA from 1 species
UACGUAGGGUGCAAGCGUUGUCCGGAAUUAUUGGGAGUAAAGAGCUCGUAGGCGGCUUGUCGCGUCUGCUGUGAAAACCCGAGGCUCAACCUCGGGCUUGCAGUGGGUACGGGCAGGCUAGAGUGCGGUAGGGGAGAUUGGAAUUCCUGGUGUAGCGGUGGAAUGCGCAGAGAUCAGGAGGAAUACCGAAGGCGAAGGCAGUCUUCCAAGCCGUUAUUGACGCUCAACUGCGAAGGUGUGGGUAUCAAACAGGAUUAGAUACCCUGGUA